GGGUGUACAUAAGAGUGUGUUCAAUGAAUGAAAAACCCUGCUGAGACAUAUUUCUUAUUUUUUUCUCUAUAGAUCAAAUCAACUUAACUUGCCCUCAUACCUGCUUAAAUAUUUAAUUUACAGAUCUGUUUAGCACGACUUUGCAUAAAAGUAAAUAAAUGAAUAUCUUUAAAAAAUGCUAAAUAAACGUCUUGUUUCCUAACCAAUAAAACACAAGGGCAUCUUUUUUAAAUGGUUAAAUUAAAUUACAAAAAAAUGCAGUAAUUACAACUUGCAACAGUAGAGUACUGCAUCAUAAUGAAUUUGAUAAAUUGUAAUAUACUUACUUCAAGCGACAACCUCCGGUCUUGAAAAAUUAGGCCAAAAUUAGACAAAUCCUGCAGUUUGUCAAGUGUCAUAUUAACGUGGAACACAUACAAAAUGCAACCUGAAGAUAUAAGGGGCUAACAGCUAACAGGAGAGCUACCCUCAAUGUAGUUUGCACUGUAACGGCUUGUUGAAAUGACAGAUGAAGUACAAGGAGAUAAAAGGUCGUAUUUGGCGGAGACGCAUGCCAUUGUUUGGUAAAUUCUUGAGAGUCGACUUCCAAGUAAACAAAGUCUUUCUCUCGUUUAUCUCAGCAACCUCUCAAGCUCACUCCAGAACACUGGAAGUCACAAACACAUGACUGGCAAAAGAGCCGUUUUUAGCCUGUCGUUAGGUUGACUGAAAGUUAUAGGCUGAGACAGCAUUUUUAGCAUGGCGGCGGCUGUCGAUUAGCCCCUGGAACCCCCUGCAGGAACAGAUGGCUAAUGUCACUUAGGCUUCAUACAUUAAUAUCUACAGUCUAUGACUUCCUCUGGUGGUUGGGUAUGGACUGCUUGCUGGUUAAUAGGUAGACCGCGCCCAACUAGCUGUGAUUGACUGGCUUCACCUGAGUGGAAGGGCAUAUAAACCAGGCUUUCUUUCUCUCUCUCUGGACAGCCAACACGCACAACCUGCUGUCAUGGUUGGGGUUUGUUUGAGAAUAAAACUGUUGCUUAAAAGCAAGUUCAGUUUGUGAACCUCCCUUACUGUUAUGGCCUAAACGAGCUGGUCAUAACAAAUGGGAUGAUUUCACAUAAAGUACUUUAAUAAAACUUUGAUGCUUAUACUUUAGUUUGAAUACAAACAGCAACACUUUGUAUCACUACCAAAAUUAGAGUUCAGGGAAUUUCUUCUUCUACUGACCCCUCUGCACUUCUUUGUUAUGAUUGUUGUUCUACAUGUUGUGAGAUUUAUCUUCCAAUGCAAAUAUUAUACAAUAAAAAAUAAAUAAAUAAAUAAAUACAGGCUUUCUAACUUCAACAGGAAUUCCUGACUGUCAACCUCAAGAGAGACACUUGGAUUGGUUUGAGUGACAGAGACAACGAGGGCAUCUGGAAAUGGAUCGACGGCACUCCGCUGACUCAAGCGUACUGGAAGAUAGGUGAGCCUAAUAAUGCCGGGAAUCAUGGCAUUGGCGAAAACUGUGUUCAUCUCAUCCCUGACACCGAAACAGAGGAAAACUGGAAUGAUCUGAAAUGUGAUGCAUCCAAACAGUGGAUUUGUGAAGAAAAAUAGCAGCAGUUAUUGAGUGUUGAAAUGACUCAUUUUCAAAAAGUGUACACUGUCUGUUAUUCAUAUGAAUCGGCUUAAUGUGCGUCGUUGUAAUUCUUAAGGAUAGAGUGAUAACACUUUGUAAUAGCAAUCAUUGAUAAACAGUAAAAUGGGUAAUUUAGUGGUUACUAUUUUACUGUAAACAAACCAUGACAUGGUAAUUAUUAGUUAUGCUAAUAUGUAUAUUAAUUUGUCUUUUUUAUUGUUUAAUAACAUUUCAUAUAAUAUCAUGGGAUUAGCAUUAAGUCACAUCUUCCAGUUCGAUGUUUCCCUAUUAUGAAUAAUGUAUUAUGUAAUGAAGUGUGCCCAAAAUUUCCCACUUCUUUUGUGGUCUUUGCUUCAUCAUAUAAUUGGUUGUGGGCUUCCGUUUUACUGUUUGGUAGCCUACUUUUCUUUCCAUGUUAUUUCUCUUAGUGGCUUCCUUUGUACGUUUGUCAGCAGUUUUAUUUCCUUUUAUGCCAAUCUGAGGCGGUGUCCAUACAGAUAUUACUGUUGGUCCCAUAAUUUGUAUUCUGCACAUUGCUGCUGAAUUUCUAAAAAAAAUAUCUGUUCUACUGUCUGAAUUACUGACAAAAGUGAAUAUUAUAUCACUGUGUUUAAAUAAAGAUUCUCCAUGUUGCUCUACAGUUUAAA